GACGUAGGGGGCAAGCGUUGUCCGGAGUUACUGGGCGUAAAGAGCUCGUAGGCGGCUUUUUAAGUCGGGUGUGAAAGCCCUCGGCUCAACCGAGGAAUUGCAUUCGAUACUGAGAGGCUAGAGUCUGGUAGAGGAAAGCGGAAUUCCCGGUGUAGCGGUGAAAUGCGCAGAUAUCGGGAAGAACACCGGUGGCGAAGGCGGCUUUCUGGGCCAUGACUGACGCUGAGGAGCGAAAGCUAGGGUAGCAAACAGG
rnacentral:rRNA from 1 species